UUUAUAUUCCCUCCGUUCGGAAUUACUUGUGGAUAUGGAUGUAUCUAGACCUAAAAUACAUCUAAAUACAUCCAUUUUUGCGACAAGUAAUUCCGAACGAAGGGAAUACAUU
rfam:Triticum urartu cultivar G1812 contig1069412, whole genome shotgun sequence.